rnacentral:rRNA from 1 species
GCCGGAGGAUGCAAUCGUUAUCCGGAAUGAUUGGGCGUAAAGCGUUCGCAGGUGGCUAUUCAAGUCUGCUGUCAAAGACCGGGGCUUAACCCCAGAGAGGCAGUGGAAACUGGACGGCUGGAGUGCAGUAUGGGUAGAGGGAAUUCCCAGUGUAACGGUGAAAUGCGUAGAGAUUGGGAAGAACACCGGUGGCGAAAGCGCUCUGCUGGACUGCAACUGACACUGAGGGACGAAAGCUAGGGGAGAGAAAGGG